rnacentral:rRNA from 1 species
GAACGCGAAGAACCUUACCCGGGCUUGAAUUGCAGUCGCUGCCCACAGAGACGUGGGCUUCCCUUCGGGGCGUCUGUGAAGGUGCUGCAUGGUUGUCGUCAGCUCGUGCCGUGAGGUGUCGGCUUAAGUGCCAUAACGAGCGCAACCCCCUUUCCCAGUUGCCAUCGGGUUAUGCCGGGCACUCUGGGGACACUGCCACCGCAAGGUGCGAGGAAGGUGGGGAUGACGUCAAAUCAGCACGGCCCUUACGUCCGGGGCUACACACGUGUUACAAUGGCCGGUACAGAGGGACGGUGCAAUGCAAGUUGCAUCCAAUCUUGAAAUCCGGUCCCAGUUCGGACUGGGGUCUGCAACCCGACCCCACGAAGCUGGAUUCGCUAGUAAUCGCGCAUCAGCCAUGGCGCGGUGAAUACGUUCCCGGGUCUUGUACACACC